CGCCUACGGGACGCAGCAGUGGGGAAUAUUGCACAAUGGGGGAAACCCUGAUGCAGCGACGCCGCGUGAGUGAAGAAGUAUUUCGGUAUGUAAAGCUCUAUCAGCAGGGAAGAUAAUGACGGUACCUGACUAAGAAGCCCCGGCUAACUACGUGCCAGCAGCCGCGGUAAUACGUAGGGGGCAAGCGUUAUCCGGAUUUACUGGGUGUAAAGGGUGCGUAGGUGGCAGGGCAAGUCAGAUGUGAAAGCCCAGGGCUCAACCCCGGUACUGCAU
rnacentral:rRNA from 1 species